GCUUGUCUCAAAGAUUAAGCCAUGCAGGUGUAUGUAUACACAACUUUAUACUGUGAAACUGCGAAUGGCUCAUUAAAUCAGUUACAGUUUAUUUGAUAGUACCUUACUACUUGGAUAACCGUAGUAAUUCUAGAGCUAAUACAUGCAUCAAUCCCCGACUUCCUGGAAGGGGUGUAUUUAUUAGAUGGAAACCAAUGCGGGGCAACCCGGAAUAUGGUGAUUCAUAAUAACUUUCGGAUCGUUUACGAUGCAUCAUUCAAGUUUCUGCCCUAUCAGCUUUGGAUGGUAGGGUAUUGGCCUACCAUGGCUUUAACGGGUAACGGAGAAUUAGGGUUCGAUUCCGGAGAGGGAGCCUGAGAAAUGGCUACCACAUCCAAGGAAGGCAGCAGG
rnacentral:rRNA from 1 species